UACGUAGGGUGCGAGCGUUGCCCGGAUUUAUUGGGCGUAAAGGGCGCGUAGGCGGCCACGCACGUCCGUUGUGAAAUCGCCCGGCUCAACUGGGCGGGGUCAGCGGAUACGGUGUGGCUCGAGCAAGCUAGGGGGCAAUGGAAUUCCCGGUGUAGUGGUGGAAUGCGUAGAUAUCGAGAAGAACACCGGUGGCGAAGGCGGCCAUCUGGACGGUGACUGACGCUGAGACGCGAAAGCGUGGGGAGCAAACAGG
rnacentral:rRNA from 1 species